rnacentral:lncRNA from 1 species
GGGGAGGUCUGGCUGAGAAGGUGACAGCUGAGCAAAGACUGGAAGGAGAGGAGAGAGGGCGCCAUGGGGAAACCUGGCGGAGAGUAUUCCACCAGAGGGAACAACCAGUACCAAGGUCCUGAGGUAGAAUACGCUUGAUGUGGUCAUGGAAUAGCAAGAAGGCGUGAGGGGUGGAGCAGGGUGAGGAAGGGGGCAGGUGGGAGGCCACGGGGUCAGAGAGGCGAUGGGGGCAGGUCAUGUGGGGCCUCGGGGGCCACGGUGAGGGCUCUGCCCUUUACUCAGAGCAGGGUGGCACCCCCGAAGGGCUCUGAGCAGACGAUGGACGUAGUCCGAUGCAGGUGUUCACAGCGUCCCUCUGGCUGUGGGAACAGACGGAGGGCGGGGGCGGGGGGAGCAGGAGACCAUGGAGGGGUUACUUCAGUGGUCCAGGCAGGAGAUGAGGGUGGACGGGACCAGGGUGGGAGAGAAGGGGGCAGGUUCUGGAUGGAUUUCAUGAAGUUGGAGCCCGCACAGUUAGCUGAGAGCCUGGUUGUGGGUGUGAGAGAAUGCAGAGUGGAAUACUUGCCCUGGGCCCCUGGCAGGUCUGGGGUGUGGUCCACAGGGAGGUCGCCUGUGCCGGCACGGCAGGGACCAUGCUUCCGGGUGCUCCCGAGUCCCGGGACUGAGGACAGGCCCACCAUGACUGUUUCUCAGCGUCCCAGGCUGAAUCGUGCCUUCCUUUGAGCACCUCUCCCACCAGCCCCUGCCUGGGGCCCUUGCUGAGCCAGCGACACCCAGGCUGCAUGGCGCCAGCUGGGUCCAAACAAUGCAAAUAAAACAGCAGGAAUGAGGUGCUGUGGCCCCUGGGAGGCAAAGAUGAGGCCCCUCAGCUCCUCGAUUCCCUGAGGGAGGACGGACAGGGGAGGAGGGGGCCUGGGGAAAACCUGGCCCCGGACGGGAGGGAGAGAAAUGUUCUGUGAGCACAUGCAUGGGCUUGGACUCAAGGCUGACAGAGCUCUGCCGCCUCCUCAGUCUGAGGCCUUGCGCAAGGUGUCUCUGAGCCUCCUUUUGUUCCCCCUAAAAGGGAUCCGAAUGCCCAUUGUUGGGAAGACUCACUGGGAUCAUUCACGAGCCCAGCCAGGAGCAGCAUUAAGCUUGGUGCAAUGUAAAUGCUUUGAAACGGUUCCUCCCGUGGGGCUGGGGUAGGCGGUGUCGCCAGGGGUGACGAGACACGAUAGUUCACACCCUCACUCUGCACCUUUAGGUUAAUUUUUCUGAGCCUCAGUUUCCCCAAAAUUGAGUCCUGAUUUCCCCACCAGCUUCCUCCCAUCUCUGUAAAGAGCAGCACAGUCUCUUUCGUUCUUGGACCAGAAACUGUGGAGUCCGCUUGGAUUUUCUGUUUCUCUCACACCCCAUCAGGAGCGUCCUCCCACCAGGAAGUGGGGGCACUGCCAUUUGUAAUACUGUCCCGGAAAUUCUCGAAGCCAGGGCUGCCGUGCUGUCUGGACAGGGGACCCUGGCUUUAGAUCAGGACCCGUGUUGGUCCCAUCCUGUUUCUCCCCUUUAGGGCGCUCUCCAAAGCUCUUUCUCCACCCAGAUCACCACUCCUGUGUGCAUGGGGCCGGCCGGAACUCCAAGACGCCGGCCCUAAUGGGGUCAUCCCUCCCGCGGUUGGACCCCAGUUCCAGGAGAGCAGCCUGGCAGCGGGUGGCUCCCGCUGGCUGGCCGCCAGGACAGCACUGGAGUGCUGACUUGAGACGCCUCGGACUUGCUUCCUGAGACACGGGACGAGUCCAGGGCUCUGGGUCGUCAACUGCCCACCACCCCUUGGGCUGGAGCCGAGGAGGGAGGGGAGAGGGGCUGGAAUGCAGUGAAUAACUGCUCAUGCCUACGUGAAGAAGCCUCCGGGAAAUCCCCAGAGUCCAGCGUCUAGGGAACUUCCAGGAUGGCGGCACAGCGACACUUGGAGGGUGACGCAUCCCAGCUCCAUGGGGACAAAAGCUGGGGACCCUCCCCACCUCGCCCUGUGUAUCUCUUCAUCUGGCUGUUCAUCUUGGUCAGACCUCUUUCCUCCCAGGGCCAUCGAGACCAUGAUCCCACGACGCCAUGGUCCCUUCCAGCGACGGGAGACAAGAAGCUCCCCUAGAAUGGAGAUUCGACUCUUUGCCCAGUUCAGGCCGGUUAAGAGGUUCAGACCACCAAAUGCCCAAUAGGUGACCCUUUGAUGUCAGGGGCCGAACACUCCACCCUCAGAUCAUGCAAAGGCCACCAUUUUGUGAACAUGCGCCUUAUGAAGAGCCAUGUAGCUUGACUGUGCUCGUGCGGACCACCAG